CACGUAGGGGACGAGCGUUGUCCGGAUUCAUUGGGCGUAAAGCGCGCGUAGGCGGCUCGGAAAGUCGGGCGUGAAAUGCCGGGGCUCAACCCCGGGACUGCGUCCGAUACUUCCGAGCUGGAGGUAGGUAGGGGAGAUCGGAAUUCCUGGUGUAGCGGUGAAAUGCGCAGAUAUCAGGAGGAACAGCCGGUGGCGAAGGCGGAUCUCUGGGCCGUUACCCUGACGCUGAGGCGCGAAAGCUAGGGGAGCGAAC
rnacentral:rRNA from 1 species